UACAGAGGUCUCAACCGUUAUUCGGAUUCACUGGGCGUAAAGGGUGCGCAGGCGGCCAAGUGUGUGAGGCGUGAAAGCCCGGGGCUUAACCCCGGAAUUGCACCUCAAACUACAUGGCUAGAGCAUUGGAGAGGGUAGCAGAAUUCAUGGUGUAGCAGUGAAAUGCGUAGAGAUCAUGAGGAAGACCAGUGGCGAAGGCGGGUCUCUGGACAGUUCCUGACACUGAGGCACGAAGGCCAGGGGAGCGAACGGG
rnacentral:rRNA from 1 species